GCAUCUAUGGCGUAAUAGGUAGGCGCGGCAGGCUCAGAACCUGCUAGUGGAAACACUGUACCAGUUCGAGCCUGGUUAGAUGCACCA
rnacentral:tRNA from 2 species